AGAACAUGAGAUGGUAGCGGCAAGGCACUGAGGUGGUUCUCGGCCUGUGGCGAUGACUCAGAGAAAUCACCAAGUCACACCUGCUUGUUGGAACAAGUCAAAUAAUAAGAGGUUGGAAAAGAAGAAAAUAAGCUCUUGAGAGCGACAAUCCUGCGGCUGACUUCUCAGGUGGAGAAGGCUGGAGCGAUGACCCAGCAUGCAAGUGUGAGGACCAGAGUUCAGAUCCCCAGAAGGGAUGGAAAAGUCGGAUAGGAAAAGUCCUAAGUGAAGACCCCAGGAAUGAGAGGUGAAGGAGCCCCUCCCCCCAGCAUCGAGGUCACCAAAGGAAAAGAGCUUCAGCCUACGUAAGGGUGUCGUGAAUCUAUGUUCAACCUGAAGACAAAGCCGGGCUUCCGGAACACUAACUGUACGCUCCCAGAAACAUCUGCUCCAAGCAUCCUUCGGACGUAUUUCA